rnacentral:tRNA from 1 species
GGACAGGUGGCCGAGGGGUUUAAGGCAGCGGUCUUGAAAACCGCCGUAGGUGAAAGCCUACCGUGGGUUCGAAUCCCACCCUGUCCGCCA